CUGCUGGGAGCGGUGCGUGGUCGUGGCCGGGCUUGAAUCGUCGAGCUCAGGCAGGGCAGCUUGGUUGCCUUGGAAGCAGAGGAGCAGACCCCUUGUUGCGGGACAGGGCCGGUGCCUAGGUGCGUCCCUCCUCCUCGAGCAGGACAAGGCCAUGUUCCCGGCUAGAACUGGCGUCCUCCUGUCGUCGUUGCCGUCCACGCCAUGGGCGGUCUGCAGAAAAGUAAGAGAACUAGAGAAGGUUAGUUUGCAGAGCUACAAGCUACAGUGUGUAACAAAGAUAUUCAAUCUAUUCAGCAAAACCAACACAAAAAUAUAUGAUAGUCUGCAGAACAACAUAGCAUCAUUCACAAGCAAAGUAUAGGAUGCAAACAACAAGUAGUACCAUAAUUCUCAUCACAGUCAUACAUUGAAUUCAUUAAAGGCUACAGAUUCAUAGAAUUCAUUAAAGGCUACAGAUUCAUAGAAUUCAUUAAAGGCUACAAAUAAAAAUAGGUAGAUUUCUUUCUUCUCUUUGAUUUAUGCUAGCAGAGAUGUAGCAGGCAGGAAGGUGGGAAGCAAUACAUAUGCAUGUAUGUAUGAAGCAGAUCAUGAAAAGAGCAACAUCUAUUUAACUUGAUUGCCUUGCAGAUGACACACAAGAUGAAGAGCGCUUGGACAGAAGCGAUGGACGCCACGAACUGGCAGAUCACAGAUUUCUCCAUAAGUACAGAAGUAGUAUUUGCAUCAGUACAGCAACACUAGCACGUAGUACAAACAUGGUAUCACAGACAUUCUCUAAUUGACUAGCACCCAAAUAUAUACAUGCACCAGUUCAGGAAAUUCAUAGACCUAUAUAAGAGAGCACUCGAUUCAGCAAGAAGAUACAGUGGAUAUAUCAAGAUUUGAUAUGCCCCAAUCUCUGAAGAUUUGUAUGUGCAAAUCUGCAGAUUCAGGUGUAGUGAUUCAAACCAUACGUAACUACAGAUUUUUUUACAGUAAAAACUGUGUGUACAAAUCUGAAUAUAGCAAACACAAAGUGCAUUCAGGAUCCACUUCCCAACAUCUAAAUUCACCGAACAUGUCCUAAAAUUAGCACAACUAGAAAGUACAGAGAUAAGAACAGCAAUGCACAUCUAAGAGGUGGCAAUCAAUUGGUCCAACAAUACAAUAUAGAAGCUCAGUUGCAAUAAAUAACUACAUGCCUACAUCAGCUCAAAGUGGCAGUAGCUCAAAAACAAGCAAAACAACUGUUGAUAAGCAAAGGCAAAAGGCUAAAACACAUGUUUGGCCAGAAAAACUAAAAGCUAAAUCAUGUCAUUUCAGCGAGAAUGACUCAUGUAGUUAUAGGCAAAGUACAAAACUAGCGACCUAGAAAACACGUCGGCAAGUUACAGAUAACUGAUCAAUGAUAGACACAGACGGCGGUCUGCGCAAGAUGGAGACGCCUCUCGACUGGCGACGUACACGUCCAGGUAAACUAUCCAGCAGCAU
rnacentral:lncRNA from 1 species